rnacentral:lncRNA from 1 species
CUGGGACCUCCCUGCGCCCACCUGGACUCCUGGCUACAGCACUGUGAGAUAACAAGGCCCUGUUGUUUGAAACGGCUAAGUUUACGGUGACUUGUUACCGCAGCAACGGAAGAUACAAGGUGAUGCCACAACACAAAAGAAGGGACAAAGUCAAUAAAAAUCAAACAAAGAACCCAAGCAGAAGCGUAAUCUUGCAACAGGCGAGAGCUGCACCCGGAAGCAAGGAUGGAACGGGAGCGGCCCCAUUGAUCAAUGGCCUCCCGAGAACUGCCGAGAACAUCAAUUGAGACAGAAGCGCUUCAGGUGUGGCCCCUGGACCAGCAGCAUCCACCUCACCUGGGAACAUGUUGGAAAUGCAAGUUCUCCCCCUCCCCAGAUCUCCUAAAUCAGAUCCUCAGGGGCGAGGCCAGCACGCUGUGUUUGAACAAACCCUCGCACUGAUUCAGACGCAUGCUCUGCCACAGGCACAAGGUGACAGGUGUCAAGGGAACACAGAAAGACAGAGAGACGAAGGGGAGCUACUGGCAGUACCAACAGCCAAGACCUGGGGCCCUCUCCUCCUGCCUCCAGGAGGCCUGAUUUUCCCUUCCCUGCCUCCCUGCAGAAGUUCAAGGCUGUUCUUUAUGAAAGAACUUACAGGUGGCCUCAGGCCCCCUGUUGAAGGUCAUGGUAUCUUCCCUCUUGUCCUUUCCCAGUCCAGGAGCACUCGGCCGUGACCCCCGAGAGAUCCAUGCCCUGUCAUGCGCCUGCCUCUCAGCCUCUCCCCAGGCUAACUGCUGCAGUGCCAAGGAGGGCCCUGCCCUUUGCCUCUGUGCCCCCAUUGCCAGGGUUUCCUGUUCAGCUGUGAAGGGCUCCCUCGAUUGCUCCAGAGUCUGGAAUUUGGGAACACUUCAAGCAGAAAGUUUAUAAUUCACCUCCCAAUUCUUUCAGCCCUGUGAACUGCCUACUGCUUGAAAAACAAAAAACAUCAAGUGACUGCUGAUUAUGGACUAGAACAGAAAUCAUGCAAAUAUUCUUACUUUGGCUAAGUUAAAAUAGAUUCCAAGGCACAGGCUUUGGCAUGGCAGAAGCCAGGGCCCUCCAUCCAGAUUGGCUGUACCAGGUGACUUCCCUGAGCCCGCAGUUUUCUCACUGAAAAUAAUAAUAAUUGCUAUUACUGUUAUCAGCAUAAUAGCAGAAUUUGUAAGCCCUUUGUCCUUCCAGCCUCUCUCAGAGGUAGGGUGGGGCAGCAGUUCUCUCACUGCUCAUUAGAAUCCCCUGGGGAGGUUUUAAAAUGCAGAUUCCCAGGCUACACUGGGACCAAGAGAGCCCCAGGAUGGCCCAGCCGUCUGCAUUUCUUCAAGCCCUCCUCUGUCCUUGGGUGGGACUAUUGCCCACUGGCCUGUGUUUUCGUUCCUUGGAAAUGGCCCCUCAGUUUUUUUUAUGGGGACCCUACCCACUUCCCUCAGACACACGCACCUCAGGGUGUGACACAGGCCAGGUGGUCAGAGUCAACUCCAGGGGCUUGCAGGCCUUGGCCCUCACACUUGGGUUACAUAAACCACUGCAAAGAACUUAACCGAAGCCAACAUAUGGCAAAUUUUAAAACUAUUAACUUCAUUUAAGGAAAAUAAACAACAACAAUAGAGCCAGGUUGUCAUGAAUUGGAAGCAGAUGCGUGGGGCUCUUUGUAGACUGCCUGCUCCCAACAAGAUCAUCCCUCUUCCCUCCCCAUUCCCCUUCCCUGGUGCAAGCAGAGCUGCAUCCUUAAGGAGGCUGGGCUCAGCCUGCCAGAGGUGGAGAGCCUCUGGACUCAGGAACCUCCGCCUGCCUCAAUUUCCUCGUAAUCACAGAACAUCUGCUGCAUGGAGCCUGCCCUGCAUCCCUGGGGCC